UACAGAGGGUGCAAGCGUUAAUCGGAAUUACUGGGCGUAAAGCGUGCGUAGACGGUUAUGUAAGUCAGGUGUGAAAGCCCCGGGCUCAACCUGGGAAUGGCAUUUGAGACUGCAUAGCUAGGGUGCGGAAGAGGGAAGCGGAAUUUCCGGUGUAGCGGUGAAAUGCGUAGAUAUCGGAAGGAACAUCAGUGGCGAAAGCGGCUUCCUGGUCCAGCACCGACGUUCAGGCACGAAAGCGUGGGGACGCAAACAGG
rnacentral:rRNA from 1 species